ACAAACACACACACUUUAUCCCCAAACUCCCAUGGUAUCCUUGUUUCUUAUCUACCCAUCUCUCAUUUCACUCUCUCUCUCUCUCUCUCUCUUAACACACACAUCAAAAAACUCUGCCAAUUUUUUUUCCCUUUUUCCAUUAAUAAACUCCUCUAACUCUUUGUGCUAACCAGAAAUUUGUUGAAGAAAAUGGGUUCAUCAAAGUCAGAUGUGAGUCGGUCAACGAUGAUGAUCUAUCCAGAACCCAUUGACCAUUUCGACAACUUACCUGAUCCACUUCUCCUCUUAGUUUUCAACAAGAUCGGUGAUGUUAAAACACUUGGUAGAUGUUGUUCUGUUUGUACUAGGUUCCAUUCACUUGUCCCUCAAGUUGACAACGUUGUUGUCCGUGUUGAUUGUGUCAUUUCUGAUGACAACAACAACAACAACAAUGAACAUUUUAAUGGAUCCGGGUCUUCUUCUACCGGGUCGGGUCAUAAAUCAUCACUUCACCCGAUUUCGACUCUUUUUCGACUUCUUAUUAAACCCUUUUUGUCACUUACUCAACUGAUUUCCAUUUCAAGAAAUCGAUGUAAUAAUGCUUCUUCAAUUCUUGAUGAUGGUUUUGAUCAGUUUGAGAAGAAUUCGGUUACCCACCAUUCACCUACCCAAGUUUUGAAGAAUUUUGAUGAGAUUAAGGAGCUUAAGAUUGAAUUGCCUAGUGGUGAAUUGGGUAUUGAUGAGGGUGGUUUGCUUAAAUGGAGAGCUGAUUUUGGUUCCACUCUUGAUAAUUGUGUUAUUCUUGGGGCAUCGUCGGUGAUGAAUAAUAGCACUAAUCUAGUCGAUGUACAGUGCGGUAAUGAUGGUAACGACAACGACGACAUAUCCAGUGUAAUCGCACAAGUGGGGUCUGGGGAAAGUAACAUUAGUGGAGAAAUGGUGGAUAAUGGGAGUAUACCCGAGUCGUUUUACACGAAUGGGGGUUUGAAAUUGCGCGUUGUGUGGACGAUUAGUUCGUUAAUAGCGGCUUCCGCGAGGCAUUAUCUGCUUCAACCGAUUAUAUCGGAGCACAAGAAGCUUGAGAGUUUGGUUUUGACUGAUGUUGAUGGACAAGGAGUGUUGUGUAUGGAUAAGGAGCAGUUAGAGGAGUUGAGGGUGAAGCCUCUUUCGGCUUCAUCAGCCUCGAAAAGGACUAUGGUGCCAGCAUUGAAUAUGAGGUUAUGGUAUGCAGCACAUUUGGAAUUGCCUGAUGGGACGGUGCUUAAAGGGGCGACGUUGGUAGCGAUAAGGCCUAGUGAACAACAGGGUAAUAAGAAAGAGGUGGUUGGAGGAGAUGGGAAUUGGGUGGGGGAAGCAUUUGAGGAGCCGUAUGGGACGGCUGCGAGGAUGUUGGUUAAGAGGAGGACUUACUGUUUGGAGAUGAACUCGUUUUGAAUAUAGGUUUGAAGUGGUCAGAGGGUUUCUUGGAUUGAUGACUGAGUGAUACAUCUGCUGAUCCUUGCCCUGCAAGAUUAUUCAUUACCAUAAGGUGGAAUACAGUUUGGGUCAAUACUAUGUUCAACCAACAAAUGUGGGAAAAUUACAUUUCUAUGAAAGGUGGAUGAACAAAUGCUGAAAAGGGGCGGAAAAGACAAAUUUUGUUUUGAGCUAGCUCACCCUGAGUUGAAGCCAGUUGCUUUUAGAGAUGAAAUGCCAGCUGCUGGCUAACUAUGAGCUUUAAAUCACCCCGUGUUAUGCACGAUGAUAGGCAUCUGCUUAUGUUUUAGUUUGGGGCAUAUGCUUCUAAGAAUGCACAAAGUGCUUCCUGUUCAUGUAACAGGAGCUUUGUGCCGUGGACUUUAUAGCAAUACACAUUUGAUAGUUACUUCUUUCUGUAAAUAUUGUGGUUAUGGAUAUCAUAUGCCAUGUCAUGUACUUUUAAGGUUUCAUUGCGCAAUGAAAUGUACGUUUUGCUACAUUUGUGCUAGUUUAUUCACACUUAUUGUAACUGGUGUCAUAUGUGAAAUAGUACACUACCAUUUUCAUGAAUUUUAUGUUU